UCAAGUUUCUGACAUAAGAAGAGGACGUUUUCAGAAAAAUCCUGAACUUGAGAUGUUACUAGAAGUUUUACAUUUAAUCAAAGAUAAUGUCCUCCAGAGGCUAUUUUUCAAUCUCAUCAGACCAUUGGGGGAGUGUGUGUGUAGCCGUCCCAGGCAAGAGCCAGGAUUCUGAAUUGUCUCUCCCCACUAUCAGCUCUACGUCCUGUGGAGCAGAACAACU